rnacentral:rRNA from 1 species
UACAGAGGUCUCAAGCGUUGUUCGGAUUCAUUGGGCGUAAAGGGUGCGUAGGUGGCGCGCUAAGUCGGGCGUGAAAUUUCGGAGCUUAACUCCGAAACUGCAUUCGAUACUGGCGUGCUUGAGGACUGGAGAGGAGACUGGAAUUCAUGGUGUAGCAGUGAAAUGCGUAGAGAUCAUGAGGAAGACCAGUGGCGAAGGCGGGUCUCUGGACAGUUCCUGACACUGAGGCACGAAGGCCAGGGGAGCAAACGGG